CGGUGGAGCAUGUGGUUUAAUUCGAUGCAACGCGAAGAACCUUACCUGGGCUUGACAUCCCUGGAAUCCCCUGGAACAGGGAGUGCCUUCGGGAGCCAGGAGACAGGUGCUGCAUGGCUGUCGUCAGCUCGUGUCGUGAGAUGUUGGGUUAAGUCCCGCAACGAGCGCAACCCUUGUCUUUAAUUGCCAUCAUUCAGUUGGGCACUCUAAUGAGACUGCCGGUGACAAGCCGGAGGAAGGUGGGGAUGACGUCAAGUCCUCAUGGCCCUUAUAGGUGGGGCUACACACGUCAUACAAUGGCUGGUACAAAGGGUUGCCAACCCGCGAGGGGGAGCCAAUCCCAUAAAGCCAGUCGUAGUCCGGAUCGUAGUCUGCAACUCGACUACGUGAAGUCGGAAUCGCUAGUAAUCGUGGAUCAGAAUGUCACGGUGAAUACGUUCCCGGGUCUU
rnacentral:rRNA from 1 species